AGAUAACUGACACAUUUCUCAUCUCACAAAUUAUCUUCGUGGGCUAAGAACAUUUUAGAUCUCGACGGCCCCUGUAGUUUCAAGGGCUCCUGUCCUCUUAGGUUGCCAAAGAGGCAUAAAUAAUGCAAUGUGGAUGGACCUACAUGAGCUGUCUUGGCUGUGUUUCUGAAGUCAAGCACCCAGCCUGAAGCAGCAAAGUGUUAAUGUCCCUCCAGGGAGGCAGAUGCUCUGAACGAAGAGAAACAAUCGCCAUGAGAAGAAAGAAGAUCUCAGUUGGCCAGCUAACCAAGCAGUUAGUGGUUGGACCACCAGGGUCAAACAGAGACAGUGUCUGACCUGAAAGACUGGAACACUUGAACCACCAAUCACUUGGGUUACUCUCAAAUGUCUCUCCCCGGUUCCAGAGAACCAGUCUGAUGAGAACCAGUUAUCAGAGUAAGAUGAGAUCUAUUGGGGAGGUAUCCAGUGAGUUAUGAGAUUCUUCAGACAUAUUGAAGGUCUGAACGUCAUGGAAGCAGAAAUAGACUGGGGAAGAAAUAAAGAGGAGGGACCUUGGACCAUAUUCUGGUUCUAAGGAAGGUUUGGCCAGGGUGCAUCAUUUGGUCAUCCAUAGUAGUGUCUUGUGUCUUCCAAAUGGACCUGAAUUGAGGCCAUUGCCAUACCUGUCUGACUGAGAACAGGUCUCAGAAACCGUGG
rnacentral:lncRNA from 1 species